rnacentral:rRNA from 1 species
CUGGAUCUGAAAAAGCCAGCCCGCCCGAACUUCCCGUAAAAGAAAAAAAAAUCCCUCGGCGCCCACCUUAUCCACUCCCCCUGCGUCCUCCCACGAUCCUCCCCGGCCAACCUCCCGCCGCCGUCUCCCUGGCUCCGGCGCACCUCCCGCCGCUAGCCCCACGACCCCGGCGUGCUUCCCGCCGCUGCAUCCCUCGGCCCCGGUGCGCCCCCGCCGCCGCCCACCCUGGCUGUGACGCGCCUUCGCCACUACUUCGCCCACCCUGGCCCCGACGCGCCUCCAUCCGCCGCCCCCCGACGCGCCUCCCGCCGCCGCCCUUCCGGUCCCGAUGCGCCUCCUGCUGCCUCCCUCCACCUGCUUCGACGACGGCGCCGGCCACCUCCACCUUCUUCCACCUGCAGCCACCGGCCUCCUACCACAGCAAGCGACCGCCGCGGCCAUCCUCCACCUGUCGCUGUAGCCUUCCUAUCCGACCGCCUCCACGACACGCUGGCCUUCGUCUACCUCUGGCUCCGCUGCUGCCCAAGGUCGUGUGCGCGAUGGCAGCCCAUGUCGUUUAUCGUCCUAGUUGCGUACACGCUGACGAGUGAUGCCCCGAUCCAGCUCCCCCAUCCUCCAGCCACGAUCGUGCUAUUCGUCAAUUGAACGCCAGUGAUGAUGCAUUGAUACAUCUGUCGACAUGAACCUGCUGGUGCUGGUUUCUUGCAUAGCUCGUGCUUAAAUAAGUGGUUUAUCUUCAGCUGUGUAGUUUAAAUAAGAGAGGAGCAAGUCCGCUUGAUCAAUCUAGAAAAGUGGAAGUCACUGUAAUCAACCAACUAGAUUUGUUUCUAGUUGGGAGGUUGAAAUGAGAAAAGAGAAACGCGUGGUCAAUUAGUAUGUCUUCUCAUUCAGCUGUUUGUAAUCGUGGGUGAGUUCAACAUGUCAGGUUUACAUUUAUGCCUGCUCGAGUAAAUGCCAUUUCAACGUGUCCUGUGCUGUAGAGGUACCGUUUUCUCUGAAUAUAUUGAUGUCAAAGUCAUCAGAAAGCUGCAUGUUAAUUACUCGAGACCACUAUGGGGAGAAUUGCAUCAAGAUGAGGAAGGUACGGGUCUGCACUCUGCAGUGUAAAUGCGGUUUCAGAAGCCUGUAUUAUAAACUGUAAUACAUCUUACAUUUGGUAUGCCAACCUAAAUUUCCAAUUAAGUACCU